GCCUCUAUGGCGCAGUGGUAACGCGUUGCACUUGUAUAUAAGCAAGAGAAUGCAAAGAUCCCUCGUUCGAACCGGGGUGGAGGCA